AACGAACGCUGGCGGCAGGCUUAACACAUGCAAGUCGAACGGAUCCUUCGGGAUUAGUGGCAGACGGGUGAGUAACGCGUGGGAACGUACCCUUUGCUACGGAAUAACUCAGGGAAACUUGAGCUAAUACCGUAUGUGCCCUACGGGGGAAAGAUUUAUCGGCAAAGGAUCGGCCCGCGUUGGAUUAGCUAGUUGGUGGGGUAAUGGCCUACCAAGGCGACGAUCCAUAGCUGGUCUGAGAGGAUGAUCAGCCACACUGGGACUGAGACACGGCCCAGACCCCUACGGGAGGCAGCAGUGGGGAAUAUUGGACAAUGGGCGCAAGCCUGAUCCAGCCAUGCCGCGUGAGUGAUGAAGGUCUUAGGAUUGUAAAGCUCUUUCACCGGUGAAGAUAAUGACGGUAGCCGGAGAAGAAGCCCCGGCUAACUUCGUG
rnacentral:rRNA from 1 species